GAUGAACGCUGGCGGCGUGCCUAAUACAUGCAAGUCGAGCGAACGGACGAGAAGCUUGCUUCUCUGAUGUUAGCGGCUGACGGAUGAGUAACACGUGGAUAACCGACCUAUAAGACUGGGAUAACUUCGUGAAACCGUACCUAAUACCGGAUAAUAUUUUGAACCGCAUGGUUCAACAGUGAAAGACGGUCUUGCUGUCACUUAUAGCUGGCUCCGCGCUGCAUUAGCUAAUUGGUAAGGUAACGGCUUACCAAGGCAACGAGGCAUAGCCGACCUGAGAGGGUGAUCGGCCACACUGGAACUGAGACACGGUACAGACUCCUACGGGAGGCAGCAGUAGGGAAUCUUCAGCAAUGGGCGAAAGCCUGACGGAGCAACGCCGCGUGAGUGAUGAAGGUCUUCGGAUCGUAAAACUCUGUUAUUAGGGAAGAACAUAUGUGUAAGUAACUGUGCACAUCUUGACGGUACCUAAUCAGAAAGCCACGGCUAACUACGUG
rnacentral:rRNA from 1 species